AUGGUUUCGGUUUCCCCCUCUCCGCCUCGUCGGAUCGUUGUGCCUGCACCAACCUGCCCAGCUCCAUGGUUAUUUCCCUGGGAGGAUUUCCUGCUCUCACGCGGUCCUCAGUCUCCAGUUCAGCCGCGCGCUGCUCGGUCGCCAGUUCAGCCGCGCGCUGCUCAGUCUCCAAGUCAGCCGCGCGCUGCUCAGUCUCCAGUUCAGCCGCGCGCUGCUCAGUCUCCAAGUCAGCCGCGCGCUGCUCGGUCUCCAGUUCAGCCGCGCGCUGCUCGGUCUCCAGUUCAGCCGCGCGCUGCUCAGUCUCCAGUUCAGCCGCGCGCUGCUCAGUCUCCAGUUCAGCCGCGCGCUGCUCAGUCCCCAGUUCAGCCGCGCGCGGUUCAAUCUCCAGUUCAGUCGUGUUUUCCCCAGUCUCCAGCCCAAGCUCCAGACGCCGCGGUCCCGGUUCACCAUGCGGGUCCCGGUACAGAGGUCCGGUCCACACCGCUCCCAGCGCCCCAAACGACGGACAGUCGCAGCUGCUCCGGACGGCGCCGGCGGCGGCGCGGUUCCAGGAUUCCGGGUCCCGCGGUCUCGGUCAUGGGGACCGAGCAGUCUCCUUCUCCGACAGAGGAGCCCCUUGAUUCUCUAACUGACUGUGUCUCUCUGAUAGCGGGCAUCCCAGACAGCGUCGCCCGACGGGUCCACCUCCUCUGCUCUCCUCCGGUGGCGUUUCUCUUCGCCCACCUCAUGAACACCGCCGAUUCGGCAGCAGACCAGGGCGCGAGAGAACAACGGUUCCAGGAAGCAGCCGCUCUCGUCCUGAGGGAGCCUGUCCUGCGUGAGGCCCUGCAACUCCCGGGCCUGCAGCCAGCGGCCGCUUCAUGUCCCACCUCUCAGUCAGGUCAGCCUCGCCAUGCUCAUGCCCUGGUGCAGCCCUGUCGCCUCCAGGCCCCAGCCCAGUCGAACCUAGUCCAGACCCCAGAUCAGCCGUGUGUCGCCCAGACCCCAGAUCAGCCGUGUGUCGCCCAGACCCCAGAUCAGCCGUGUGUCGCCCAGACCCCAGAUCAGCCGUGUGUCGCCCAGACCCCAGAUCAGCCGUGUGUCGCCCAGACCCCAGGUCAGCCGUGUGUCGCCCAGACCCCAGAUCAGCCGUGUGUCACCCAGACCCCGGAUCAGCCGUGUGUCACCCAGACCCCAGAUCAGCCGUGUGUCGCCCAGACCCCAGAUCAGCCGUGUGUCGCCCAGACCCCAGAUCAGCCGUGUGUCGCCCAGACCCCAGAUCAGCCGUGUGUCGCCCAGACCCCAGAUCAGCCGUGUGUCGCCCAGACCCCAGAUCAGCCGUGUGUCGCCCAGACCCCAGAUCAGCCGUGUGUCGCCCAGACCCCAGAUCAGUCGUGUGUUGCCCAGACCCCAGUUCCGUCCUUGUCCCCGUCAGAGGGCACCGCCCGUCUGACGAUUGUUAACCCCACCCAAUCAGGCCCGACGUCUUCCCCGUCGAGCUCGGCAGCUGUAAGCUGUCAUGCCAGCUCCGGAGUUGACGCCGUUCCAGUCCCUGUCGGCCAUGUUGCGGCCGUUCCAGCUCCUGUCGGCCAUGUUGCGGCCGUUCUAGUUCCUGUCGGCUCCUCAGAGGAGGACGCCGUUCUAGUUCCUGUCGGCUCCUCAGAGGAGGACGCCGUUCCUGUUCCCGUCGGCCAUAUUGAGGCCGUUCUAGUUCCAGUUCCUGUCGGCUCCUCAGAGGAGGACGCCGUUCUAGUUCCUGUCGGCCACGUAGAGGUCGUUCCAGUUCCUGUCGGCCAUGUUGAGGUCGUUCCAGUUCCUGUCGGCCCUGUAGAGGCCGUUCCAGUUCCUGUCGGCCAUGUUGAGGUCGUUCCAGUUCCUGUCCCUGUCGACCAAAUUGAGGUCGUUCCAGUUCCUGUUCCUGUCGGCCAAGUUGAGGGCGUUCCCGUAGGCCAAGUUGAGGGCGUUCCCGUAGGCCAAGUUGAGGGCGUUCCCGUAGGCCAAGUUGAGGGCGUUCCCGUAGGCCAAGUUGAGGGCGUUCCCGUAGGCCAAGUUGAGGGCGUUCCCGUAGGCCAAGUAGAGGGCGUUCCCGUAGGCCAAGUAGAGGGCGUUCCCGUAGGCCAAGUAGAGGUCACCCCUGUCUCUGACCCCGUUCCUGCCGACCCUGUAGCGGUCGUUCCAGUCCCCGUUCCUGCCGGCCCUGUAGCGGUCGUUCCAGUCCCCGUUCCUGUCGAUCCUGUAGCGGCCGUUCCGGUCCCCGUUCCUGUCGACCCUGUAGCGGUCGUUCCAGUCCCCGUUCCUGUCGACCCUGUAGCGGUCGUUCCAGUCCCCGUUCCUGUCGGCCCUGUAGCGGUCGUUCCAGUCCCCGUUCCUGUCGGCCCUGUAGCGGUCGUUCCAGUCCCCAUCACCCGUGGAGCCGUAGCGCCCGCCGGCCCCCAGGAGGAGGUCGCGCUAGUCGCAGUUCCUGCGCGCCUCCAGGAGGAGGUCGCGCCAGCCGCAGCUCCUGCGCGCCUCCAGGAGGAGGUCGCGCCAGCCGCAGUUCCUGCGCGCCUCCAGGAGGAGGCCGCGCCAGCCGCAGUUCCUGCGCGCCUCCAGGAGGAGGCCGCGCCAGCCGCAGUUCCUGCGCGCCUCCAGGAGGAGGCCGCGCCAGCCGCAGUUCCUGCGCGCCUCCAGGAGGAGGUCGCGCCAGUCGCAGUUCCUGCGCACCUCCAGGAGGAGGUCGCGCCAGCCGCA
ensembl:lncRNA